CCUACGGGUGGCUGCAGUGAGGAAUAUUGGUCAAUGGGCGCGAGCCUGAACCAGCCAAGUCGCGUGAGGGAAGACGGUCCUAUGGAUUGUAAACCUCUUUUGUCGGGGAGCAAAAGACGCCACGCGUGGCGUUCCGAGAGUACCCGAAGAAAAAGCAUCGGCUAACUCCGUGCCAGCAGCCGCGGUAAUACGGAGGAUGCGAGCGUUAUCCGGAUUUAUUGGGUUUAAAGGGUGCGCAGGCGGAAGAUUAAGUCAGCGGUAAAAUUGUGGGGCUCAACCUCUUCCAGCCGUUGAAACUGGUUGUCUUGAGUGGGCGAGAGGUAUGCGGAAUGCGUGGUGUAGCGGUGAAAUGCAUAGAUAUCACGCAGAACUCCGAUUGCGAAGGCAGCAUACCGGCGCUCAACUGACGCUGAUGCACGAAAGUGUGGGUAUCGAACAGGAUUAGAUACCCCGGUAGUC
rnacentral:rRNA from 1 species